AUUGAACGCUGGCGGCAGGCCUAACACAUGCAAGUCGAGCGGAUGACGGGAGCUUGCUCCUGGAUUCAGCGGCGGACGGGUGAGUAAUGCCUAGGAAUCUGCCUGGUAGUGGGGGACAACGUUUCGAAAGGAACGCUAAUACCGCAUACGUCCUACGGGAGAAAGCAGGGGACCUUCGGGCCUUGCGCUAUCAGAUGAGCCUAGGUCGGAUUAGCUUGUUGGUGAGGUAAUGGCUCACCAAGGCGACGAUCCGUAACUGGUCUGAGAGGAUGAUCAGUCACACUGGAACUGAGACACGGUCCAGACUCCUACGGGAGGCAGCAGUGGGGAAUAUUGGACAAUGGGCGAAAGCCUGAUCCAGCCAUGCCGCGUGUGUGAAGAAGGUCUUCGGAUUGUAAAGCACUUUAAGUUGGGAGGAAGGGUUGUAGAUUAAUACUCUGCAAUUUUGACGUUACCGACAGAAUAAGCACCGGCUAACUCUGUGCCAGCAGCCGCCGUAA
rnacentral:rRNA from 1 species